UACAGGGGGGCAAGCGUUGUUCGGAAUUACUGGGCGUAAAGCGUGCGCAGGCGGUGAUGUAAGACAGUUGUGAAAUCCCCGGGCUCAACCUGGGAACUGCAUCUGUGACUGCAUCGCUGGAGUGCGGCAGAGGGGGAUGGAAUUCCAGGUGUAGCGGUGAAAUGCGUAGAUAUCUGGAGGAACACCGGUGGCGAAGGCGGCGUUCUGGACGUGUCUCUGACACUGAAGAACGAAAGCCAGGGAGGCAAAGCGGG
rnacentral:rRNA from 1 species